rnacentral:rRNA from 1 species
GGAGCAGGCGGCACUAAGGGUCUGUGGUGAAAGAUCGAAGCUUAACUUCGGUAAGCCAUGGAAACCGUAGGGCUAGAGUGUGUGAGAGGAUCGUGGAAUUCCAUGUGUAGCGGUGAAAUGCGUAGAUAUAUGGAGGAACACCAGUGGCGAAGGCGACGAUCUGGCGCAUAACUGACGCUCAGUCCGAAAGCGUGGGGAGCAAAUA